UGACAACAGGGAAAUAGGUUAAUAUUCCUAUGCCAGUGUGCACUCAAAGCCGACGCUUUGGGGCCGCCUGAGCUGGGCCUUCGCCCAGUCGAACUGUCGAAGAGCGUGGAAGCCGUAAUGGCACGAAGCGUUCGAAUGGCAGGAUCGCGCAAGUCAGGUCAACCCAGAGCCCGUGAAAAGGCAAGCACACUGUCCGUACCGAGAUCCGACACAGGUACUCGUGGCGGCGAAAGCCAAGGUCUGUCGGGAGCAACCGACGUUAGGGAAUUCGGCAAGUUAGUCCCGUACGUUCGCAAUAAGGGAUGCCUGCCUCGCGAAGAGGCAGGUCGCAGUGACUCGGGCGCUCCGACUGUCUAGUAACAACAUAGGUGACCGCAAAUCCGCAAGGACUCGUACGGUCACUGAAUCCUGCCCAGUGCAGGUAUCUGAACACCCCGUACAAGGGGACGAAGGACCUGUUAACGGCGGGGGUAACUAUGACCCUCUUAAGGUAGCGUAGUACCUUGCCGCUUCAGUAGCGGCUUGCAUGAAUGGAUCAACGAGAGCGCCACUGUCCCAACGUUGGGCCCGGUGAACUGUACGUUCCAGUGCGGAGUCUGGAGACCCCCAAGGGGAAGCGAAGACCCUAUAGAGCUUUACUGCAGGCUGUCACUGAGACGUGGUCGCCAUUGUGCAGCAUAGGUAGGAGGCGUUACACAGGUACCCGCGCUAGCGGGCCACCGAGCCAGCAUUGAAAUACUACCCGAUGGUGACUGCGACUCUCACUCCUGGCGGAGGACACUGGUAGCCGGGCAGUUUGACUGGGGCGGUACGCGCCUGAAAAGAUAUCGGGCGCGCCCCAAGAUUUCCUCACUCGGGUCGGAGACCCGAGGAAGAGCGCAAGAGCAAAAGGAAGUCUGACAGUGUCCGGCACAACGACGGACGCUGACGCGAAAGCGUGGUCUAGCGAACCAAUUAGGCUGCUUGAUGCGGCCAAUUGCUGACAGAAAAGCUACCUUAGGGAUAACAGAGUCGUCACCCGCAAGAGCACAUAUCGACCGGGUGGCUUGCUACCUCGAUGUCGGUUCCCUCCAUCCUGCCCGUGCAGAAGCGGGCAAGGGUGAGGUUGUUCGCCUAUUAAAGGAGGUCGUGAGCUGGGUUUAGACCGUCGUGAGACAGGUCGGCUGCUAUCUAUUGGGGGUGUUACGGUAUCUGACGGGAACGUUCGUAUAGUACGAGAGGAACUACGAAUGGGUGCCACUCGUGUACCAGCUGU
rnacentral:rRNA from 1 species